GAGAGGGUGAUCGGCCACACUGGGACUGAAACACGGCCCAGACUCCUACGGGAGGCAGCAGUAGGGAAUCUUCCACAAUGGACGAAAGUCUGAUGGAGCAACGCCGCGUGAGCGAUGAAGGCCUUCGGGUCGUAAAGCUCUGUUGUUAGGGAAAAACAAGUGCGAGAGUAACUGCUCGCACCUUGACGGUACCUAACCAGAAAGCCACGGCUAACUACGUGCCAGCAGCCGCGGGAAUACGUAGGUGGCAAGCGUUGUCCGGAAUUAUUGGGCGGAAAGCGCGCGCAGGCGGUUUCUUAAGUCUGAUGUGAAAGCCCACGGCUCAACCGNGGAGGGUCAUUGGAAACUGGGAGACUUGAGUGCAGAAGAGGAGAGUGGAAUUCCACGUGUAGCGGUGAAAUGCGUAGAGAUGUGGAGGAACACCAGUGGCGAAGGCGACUCUCUGGUCUGUAACUGACGCUGAGGCGCGAAAGCGUGGAGGAGCAAACAG
rnacentral:rRNA from 1 species